rnacentral:rRNA from 1 species
UACGUAGGGGGCAAGCGUUGUCCGGAAUUAUUGGGCGUAAAGAGCUCGUAGGCGGUUUGUUGCGUCUGCUGUGAAAACUCGAGGCUCAACCUCGGGCUUGCAGUGGGUACGGGCAGACUAGAGUGCGGUAGGGGUGACUGGAAUUCCUGGUGUAGCGGUGGAAUGCGCAGAUAUCGGGAGGAAUACCAGUGGCGAAAGCGGCACCCUGGCGUCGUACUGACGCACAUGUGCGAAAGCGUGGGGAGCGAACGGG